UGAAGAGUUUUCUGCUGCAGAAGAGUAGUGAUUGCCCCAGCCAUCAGAGUCGUCAUUCGUGUCCGUGAGCUUGCAUUUUAGAAGCUGCAUAAACUUCAUCUACAAAUGCAGUUGCCAAGUUGCCGCAAUAGAGGAGUGCCAAGAUUCUUCAGCACCAGCCAGGCACAUACAAGUAAUCCUGCUUUUGGAAGAACACACUACAGAUGUCAUUACUGCAUAUUUCAACCUUAAACUUACUGAAAUUGGAAGUGGUGCAUCUGAGAUGAGUUGAUGUUCAACAGCAAAGGCAUUGGUCUGGAAAUGGUCUCUGGGAUGACUCACUUUUCUGAGGGUUAACAACAGGAGACAAGAAUUCAAGAUGGGAUUUACUUUUUGGUUAAGGAGUAAUGGGAGAAGACAACAGUCGGGAGUUUCAGUUCCUCACACAUUCUCAGGCAGACUUGGUCAAAAAAUAAGAAGCCAGAUUAUGGCCACCAAAAGCUAGCAUUUUCCCCAGAAUGCUCAUCAAAUAUUUAAGUACCAAGAACAAAAUCAAGAGUUACACAUGGGGACUUCACAUCUAUCCUUUGGAGAAUAAUUUGCUAAAACCUGCAAUUCAGUCUAGAUUGAGUCAGAUUUUUCUCCCUACAAAAGCAUCUACACUUAGAGACUGGCAAUUGCGUAAUUUACUGGGUGGCAGACAAUUAAAUCCUUGCCAGACUGGCUGAAAAUUUUAGUUCAGAAAGAGGUGCUGCACUCCCCUCGUAUUUGUAUCUAUGGCCAUAAACUACGAUCUGUUCACCAUCAAUCCUGAAUUUUGCACGCAACAAUAAGACGGUCUGAAUUAGUGUGGUGCAACAUGGAGAAGGGCAACCAAAGGAGUAUGAAAGAAAAGCAAUCAACAAGACAGUUGAGAAACAGGAAGCUGAAAGCAGACCAUCAUUUUAAGCUGCUAUUUACAUUUUUUUAAAUCUUUGUGCAAAGGAUAUGAACUUCAGUCCUAGGACUAGAAAAGAGUACAGCAUGGUAAAAGAUAAAGGAGUUCUCAACAAUAAAGCCCCAAGUCUCUCUUCACAGAAGCCUCGCAUUCCUGUCUCAAAUAAUAAAAUAGUCAUCAACUACUCUACUGGUUUAGAGUUGUAGAAUAAAUUU